rnacentral:rRNA from 1 species
AGUGAACGCUGGCGGUAGGCCUAACACAUGCAAGUCGAACGGCAGCACAGUAAGAGCUUGCUCUUACGGGUGGCGAGUGGCGGACGGGUGAGGAAUACAUCGGAAUCUACUUUUUCGUGGGGGAUAACGUAGGGAAACUUACGCUAAUACCGCAUACGACCUACGGGUGAAAGCAGGGGAUCUUCGGACCUUGCGCGAUUGAAUGAGCCGAUGUCGGAUUAGCUAGUUGGCGGGGUAAAGGCCCACCAAGGCGACGAUCCGUAGCUGGUCUGAGAGGAUGAUAAGCCGCACUGGAACUGAGACACGGUCCAGACUCCUACGGGAGGCAGCAGUGGGGAAUAUUGGACAAUGGGCGCAAGCCUGAUCCAGCCAUACCGCGUGGGUGAAGAAGGCCUUCGGGUUGUAAAGCCCUUUUGUUGGGAAAGAAAAGCAGCAGGUUAAUACCCCGCUGUUCUGACGGUACCCAAAGAAUAAGCACCGGCUAACUUCGUG